GGUUUUAAUGGCAGUGCGCGGAGAACUGAAAAUCCCCGUGUCAGCAGUUCGAUUCUGUUCCUGGGCACCA
rnacentral:tRNA from 1 species